CAGAAGAGCAUAAUAAGGGCCGGUCUGACUGCAAGGCUGGGAACUAGAAGACAAAACUGCUGCCAAGGAGACCCCAUUCGGACACUGGCUGUUCAGUCACCUGCAAGCCGGAAGAGGCGAGGAUGCUGUUGGCUUGGGUACACACAUUUCUUCUCAGCAACAUGCUUCUGGCAGAAGCCUAUGGAUCUGGAGCUAAAUCUCACUGUUGUUAUCUGUGGACCAGACGCCGCUAGGGGCAUGACUCAAGCUCUCCGCUUUUCUCUGAGGUACCCAGGGCUUUCGCCCACGGGGCCAGAGAGCCGCACUCAGGGUCCCGGGUGGGUUCCUCUUCCUCACAGGCUGCUUCUGGGACAACGGCCACCUGUACCGGGAGGACCAGCCCUCGCCCGCGCCGGGUCUCCGCUGCCUCAACUGGUUGGCCGCGCAAGGCAGCGGCGAGUCGCUCGCCCAGCCCAGCCCCGGCAACCACAACUACUGCCGGAACCCGGACCAGGAUCCGCGUGGGCCCUGGUGCUACAUCAGCAGCGAGACUGGCGUCCCUGAAAAGCGGCCCUGCGAGGACUUGCGUUGCCCAGGCCGCGGAGCCCAAAGCCCAUUGGCCGCCGCAGCAUUCGGAGUGAGCUCAUCCUCUGCGAGCACUUGUAAACAACGGUGGGAGGCAGUUCGCUCGUUCCGCAAAGCGCUCCACCAGCCUUUACUGUGUGUAGCGUCCCCAGCUCACAGUCUCAGGGAAGAAGCUGUGUGAGGGACCUGAGUC
rnacentral:lncRNA from 1 species